rnacentral:tRNA from 1 species
GCCUGUGUGGCUCAGUCGGUCAAGCGUCUGACUUUGGCUCAGGUCAUGACCUUGCAGUUUGUGGGUUCAAGCCCUAUGUCAGGCU